rnacentral:rRNA from 1 species
UACUCGAGUGGCGAACGGGUGAGUAACACGUGGGUGAUCUGCCCUGCACUUCGGGAUAAGCUUUGGAAACUGGGUCUAAUACCGGAUAGGAACCAUCUUUAGUGUGGUGGUUGGAAAGUUUUUUCGGUGUAGGAUGAGCUCGCGGCCUAUCAGCUUGUUGGUGGGGUAAUGGCCUACCAAGGCGGCGACGGGUAGCCGGCCUGAGAGGGUGUACGGCCACAUUGGGACUGAGAUACGGCCCAG